AAGGAAUUCCAAAAGGCUUCUCACAGCUGUUUCUUCCCACAGCAGUCAGAUCUAAGGUAAUGUAGCUGCACCCGAGCUCAAACACAGGCAGCUGAGCCCCUGGCACACCAGGAAAGGAUUUGACAAAACAAACAAAAAAAUCCUACUGUUAUAUUUUGCUCUGUUUGUCUUAAUCUUGUGGGGUGCCAAGAACCAUGUCAGACAAACAAAAACCAGCAGGCUCCAAAGCAUGUGAUUCCCGUGGACGCGUCAAUCCUAAACAAAUGGGAUCUGCAGUGCCCAGCUUCCAAACACAUUCUCUUCAGGUGCUCAAAAACACGCGUUAUCUUCACAGUCCCUCUCUAGUUGGGACAGCCAUUCUGAGGAGCCGAGGUGGUGACUGAGUAAAAGCUGCUCAGCUCUGUACUUGCUGAUGGGAGGAAAGAAUUAAGUAAAUAGUACACCGUGGCAGUAACACCAGAAAAGGUAUUAUCUGCCACUGGUGCUUUCCUGGCAAAUGAAGGCCGUCAGUCUCUUACCUUUGGUCUUGACCUUUAGAAAGAUGAUAUAUUUUUGCCACAACUAUAUCCUUUUUACAUAAAUUUGCGUGCCAGCCACUAUCUUAAGUUUUGCUUAACUGCAAUGCAAAUGAAGAAUAAAACGUUGGCAAACGUAAAACAUCCCUCAAACUAAAUAUCUAUGCAGAACACAAAUGAGUUCAUAGAAGGGGUAUCAAACCCAGUAGAAUUUCACAAAAUAGUAAUGGAUGUAUGGAUGAGCCUUUUUAAAAGUUUUGUUGCCAACACUCUACGACUUGGAGUAAAAACUAUCAUACUUAAAUGUUCAGUGUCUAACCCAACAUCUAGAAAUGCUAUAGAAAUCAAAUAAUGCUGGAAAUCUAUCAGAAAUCACCCAAGUAUCCUAAAAGCUCGGGAUGAACUUAGAAAAUGAGCUUAUAGCAAAAAGGAAUUUUCCACAGGCAAUUUGAUAACUCUUAGGAAUUAUACAGGAAAGGAAAAACAUCUGCAUGAAAUAAAUAAUGACUUGUACUACUCACAGCUGGAGGAACAUAAGGAAAGGAACCACAAAAACACUGCCCUAUAGCACUCGACUACAGAAGAGAAAAACUGAAAAUAUAAGCAAAAUGCUCAGAGCAGCCCAGGUUUCUGACAUUCAAUAGAACUGGAAGGAUUCAGAAGUGAGCGGUGAACAUUUGCAUAGGCAUUUCUGACAGAUCCUACUUGUUUGUCAGUAAAAAUUCAUCAAUACUAAAUUUAACUCAUUGCAAAGAUACUCAUCUUGGCUAAUUCUGAAAGAAACACUAGUGUACAUCUACAUGCAUAACUUC
ensembl:lncRNA